rnacentral:rRNA from 1 species
GAUGAACGCUGGCGGCGUGCCUAAUACAUGCAAGUCGAGCGAACAGACGAGGAGCUUGCUCCUUCGACGUUAGCGGCGGACGGGUGAGUAACACGUAGGUAACCUACCUAUAAGACUGGGAUAACUUCGGGAAACCGGAGCUAAUACCGGAUAAUAUUUCGAACCGCAUGGUUCGAUAGUGAAAGAUGGCUUUGCUAUCACUUAUAGAUGGACCUGCGCCGUAUUAGCUAGUUGGUAAGGUAACGGCUUACCAAGGCAACGAUACGUAGCCGACCUGAGAGGGUGAUCGCCCAACCUGGAACUGAGACACGGUCCAGACUCCUACGGGAGGAAGCAGUAGGGAAUCUUACGCAAUGGGCGAAAGCCUGACGGAGCAACGCCGCGUGAGUGAUGAAGGUCUUCGGAUCGUAAAACUCUGUCAUUAGGGAAGAACAAACGUGUAAGUAACUGUGCACGUCUUGACGGUACCUAAUCAGAAAGCCACGGCUAACUACGUG